UACGGAGGAUGCGAGCGUUAUCCGGAUUUAUUGGGUUUAAAGGGUGCAUAGGCGGACUGCCAAGUCAGCGGUAAAAUUGAGAGGCUCAACCUCUUCCCGCCGUUGAAACUGGUGGUCUUGAGUGGAUGAGAAGUACGCGGAAUGCGUGGUGUAGCGGUGAAAUGCAUAGAUAUCACGCAGAACUCCGAUUGCGAAGGCAGCGUACCGGCAUCCAACUGACGCUGAGGCACGAGAGCGUGGGGAUCAAACAGG
rnacentral:rRNA from 1 species